GAUACAAAUUUGUAAGAGAAGUUAAUACAAAUACAUGCUUAUACUCGCCUUUAAAGACAUUUCCUACUUGUUUAUCUUUUUAAUAGGGCGUGUGAUUAAUCUGAAAAGUUUAAAAGUUAAUAUUGUAUAAGGCAGAUUAAAUCCGUUACCUAUUUUGACCUAAAAGCCUCUCUCCUACAUAGGGUUAGCUAGUCCACAGCGCAAAUUUUGCUUUAAAA